CAGUCGCCGCGGGAAUACGGAGGGAGCUAGCGUUAUUCGGAAUUAUUGGGCGUAAAGCGCACGUAGGCGGCUUUGUAAGUUAGAGGUGAAAGCCUGGAGCUCAACUCCAGAAUUGCCUUUAAGACUGCAUCGUUUGAAUCCAGGAGAGGUGAGUGGAAUUCCGAGUGUAGAGGUGAAAUUCGUAGAUAUUCGGAAGAACACCAGUGGCGAAGGCGGCUCACUGGACUGGUAUUGACGCUGAGGUGCGAAAGCGUGGGGAGCAAACAGGAUUAGAUACCCCCGUAGUCCCUGUCUCUUAUAC
rnacentral:rRNA from 1 species